AAUAGAUACCCGGGUAGUCCACGCCGUAAACGAUGGAUACUAGCUGUUUGAGCGCAAGUUUGAGUGGCUAAGCGAAAGUGAUAAGUAUCCCACCUGGGGAGUACGGGCGCAAGCCUGAAACUCAAAGGAAUUGACGGGGGCCCGCACAAGCGGUGGAGCAUGUGGUUUAAUUCGAUGAUACGCGAGGAACCUUACCAGGGCUUAAAUGUAGAUUGACGUAUUUGGAAACAGAUAUUUCUUCGGACAAUUUACAAGGUGCUGCAUGGUUGUCGUCAGCUCGUGCCGUGAGGUGUCAGGUUAAGUCCUAUAACGAGCGCAACCCCUGUUGUUAGUUGCCAGCGAGUAAUGUCGGGAACUCUAGCAAGACUGCCAGUGUAAACUGUGAGGAAGGUGGGGAUGACGUCAAAUCAUCACGGCCCUUACGUCCUGGGCCACACACGUGCUACAAUGGCCGGUACAGAGAGCAGCCACUUAGCGAUAAGGAGCGAAUCUAUAAAGCCGGUCACAGUUCGGAUCGGAGUCUGCAACCCCG
rnacentral:rRNA from 1 species